AUUGAACGCUGGCGGCAGGCCUAACACAUGCAAGUCGAGCGGUAGAGAGGAGCUUGCUUCUCUUGAGAGCGGCGGACGGGUGAGUAAUGCCUAGGAAUCUGCCUGGUAGUGGGGGAUAACGUUCGGAAACGGACGCUAAUACCGCAUACGUCCUACGGGAGAAAGUGGGGGAUCGUCGGACCUCACGCUAUCAGAUGAGCCUAAGUCGGAUUAGCUAGUUGGUGAGGUAAAGGCUCACCAAGGCGACGAUCCGUAACUGGUCUGAGAGGAUGAUCAGUCACACUGGAACUGAGACACGGUCCAGACUCCUACGGGAGGCAGCAGUGGGGAAUAUUGGACAAUGGGCGCAAGCCUGAUCCAGCCAUGCCGCGUGUGUGAAGAAGGUCUUCGGAUUGUAAAGCACUUUAAGUUGGGAGGAAGGUCAGUAGCUUAAUACGUUGCUGAUUUGACGUUACCGACAGAAUAAGCACCGGCAAACUCUGUGCCAGCAGCCGCGGUAAAAC
rnacentral:rRNA from 1 species